UGGAGGAUGCUGGACUUGCCCUGUCCCAGCUGGUGUUAAAACAGCUUCUUAGUUAGGAGUGGGGAUCCAUGUCCACUUCCCCAUCUCAGUGCCGGGAUCUGUGUGGCUUGAGUCUUUGCAUGUCUGUGAGCGCUGGCUGUCGUUGUCUCUGUGAGUCCAUAUGUGCAGCGGUCCUGUGUUGUCUGGAAGAUUGUUUCCUUGGGUCUGUCUACCACCUCUGAGUCUUACGAUCUUUCAACCUACUUCCGGUGCCUGGGCCCCACCUGCAGAGCAAAGACAUGGCCGUAUCUGGGAUGAAUUCUGGACUUUCUUUCUUUCUCUCUCUCUCUCUCUCUCUCUCUCUCUCUCUCUCUCUCUCUCUCUCUCUCUUUCUUUCUUUCUUUCCAAAUAUGUUCUUCAGGUAAGUCAAGAAUAUAGGUUUUGGGUUGUAUGUGUGUCUUAAUGAGGUGUAUAUGUGCCUAUUCUUAUGUUUUAAAGUUUAUAAUAGAUAGGGUUAGGUAUACAGCUCAGCAAAAAACCCUUUGUGGUCAUCUGGAACAGAGUUCAAAUCAACUGUCCUUUCUAAUUGUGUAACAUUGGAGCAUUACUUCAUGUGUGACCUCUGCAGCUGUACAAUGUAGUCAACUAUCACUGAAAGGAUUCUACAAAGCGAUGUUUAUGAGCUUUCGUGUGACUCUCACACUGGCAGUUCUAUCACUGACUAGACCGUGGCAAUGGCAACCAUGUCCUGCUGCGGUUACAUAUCUGAAGUGGGUGCUAUCUCUCUCUGAAUGUGACCAUGCCGGUUUGAAGGUGAGGGCAUGUGUCAUUCAUUUCUCGUCUUUCAUGUAUUCUCUGCUGCCCUGUGGAUUCCCUGACGUAAAUCCUAACUCCUGGGCAGGCGAGAGGGCUCGGUGGGUAAGCUCAUGUACUGCCAAGCCUGAUCCCCUGAGUUUUUUCUUUGUAACCCACACGCUGAAAGGAGAGAACUAACUGAAAAUCCUGAUCCUUAAUUUUUUUUCUGACUCAAGCCAAGAUCACCCCGGUUGUCCCUGCUCGUGGAUACCCUACUCCAACUUCUCCAAGAACUCUAACCACCAAGGGAGAUGGCUCAGAGACACAGACUCUGGGAACCCUCCAGGAUAAAAGCCAAACACCAAUUUCCACAUGGACCGAUGAAGUGAAGGACUCCAGAGAAACCAUCAGAACGGCUGUCUAUAUUGGAGUAGGAGUCUCUGCUGGGCUGGCCCUGGCACUCAUCUUUGGUGUUUUAUUCCUUAAAUGGUAUUCUUAUAAGAAAAAGAAGUUACAGAAUUCAAGCCUCAUCACACUGGCCAACCUCCCUCCAGUGGGGCUAACUAAUGCGGGAGCAGGCAGAAACCGAUCAGAGGAAAACGUCUAUACCAUCGAGGAGAACAUCUACGAAAUAGAGAACGCCAAUGAGUACUAUUGCUAUGUCACCAGCGGGCAGCCAUCUUGACCACCCCUGGGCUCUCGCUUUUUAAGGCUCCCCUUCAUUUUUGAUUUUGUGGUUUUCCUUUUUGAACACUAUGAGAUAUAUCAUAUCUGAAAACUUUGGGAGGUUCUGUCCACCAUGAAGUGUUCCUGUUUUCUAGGGAUAAUUAGCUCAUAAGGGGAUUCAACUGUAACCUAUACUAUAUUGAAAUGUAUCAUUACCUCUGAUGAUAGGAUCUUCCCCCAACUCAGAGAGUGCUAAUCAUGGAUGUUGAAGCUCACAUGUGCCUUCACACAUUAGGAAUGCUUUGUCUGAUAUCUCUGGAGUACCUGGACAUUCAGGAUUGUGGUGUGUCCACAAAGCUCUUCAACAGGUAUGGGGAAUAUUAGGCUAAGGGAGAUAGGUGCAGGUCUAUGUGGAUGCAGGCAAUCUAAAGUGACCACUGAUUUUUCUAGAGAUUUGGGACCUUGAAUAAUUAAGAAAAAGUCAGGGGCACAUGCCUAUAAUGACAUAACUUACGAGGCUGAUGAACGAGGAUCGUGAGUUCAAGGCCACCCUAAGCUAUGGUGGUGAGACUUUGCUUUAAAAACAGAAGAGAAAAAAAAAAAAAACAAUCAAGCAAGCACACAGGGAGACUGGAAAGAUGGUUCAGACGGUGAAGCGCUUGUUGUGCAAGCAUGAGGAGCCAUAGUCUGAUCCCAGAACCCACACGGAAAAGCUAGGCGUGCUAAUGCCUGCCUGUAAACUCAGAGAUGGGGAAGUGGCGACAGAGCAGGUCCCUGUGGCUUGGUCGCCAGGCAGCUUAACCUAGUUGGUGAGUUCCAAGUCACCGAGAGCCCCUGUCUCGAAAUAAGGUGGACAGUGUUCCUGAGGAAAGACAAUGGCAGUUGCCCUCUGGUCUCCACACAUAUUUGAAUGUGCAUACACACAUGUGCGGUCACACGUGAGAUAAAGAAAGAAAGGGAGGAUGAGAACAGGAUGAGACAGCAGUGAAGGUUCUCUCUGGACCUUCUGCUUGGAUGCAGUGUGUAUCUCUACACCCCUGGCCCCCAUCUCAGGCCCGACCGCUUCUGAGUAGGAACAUGGUGGUGCAAACCUGUCAUUAAUUCCAGCCCUCAGCAGGCUGAAGCAGGAGCAUGGAGAGUUUGUGAGCUACGGAGCCAGACCCCCCUUCACAAAAAGAAAAGGUUCCUCAGGGCCUGCUGACUAUAAAAGGAAACUCUCCUUGCCGAAGUCCGACCUUCCCUGUUGUGUGCUCAGAGGGGAGUGCCUCUGACAACUUCUCCAUUCCCGGAGGAAGCUGGAGCUGCAUUUCUCACAGAAGAAGAACCAGUGACUGGGAUGCUCAUGCUGUUUCCUGAUUGAAAGAAGGCAGAGUCCUGGCAGCCGUCUGUGUCGUCAGCCUCAGAUCUUCCACUACAAGGACAGUGGUCACAAAACCAAAUUUCUAAGCUGGUGGAGACCAAUUUUGUCUGGCUUAUGACUGUUCAGUGCCUUGGUUUGUGUUGGUUCCCAUAUGUAACAGAACCUAAUAAAACAGCCCAGAGUCAAAAAAAAAAAAAUUAAAUGAGCAGAAAGAUAGCUUUGUCGAAAGACUUGUGCACUGGGGAGCUACUGUGGAGAUCAGAAGACACUUGUCAAUGGGGACACAGGUAUCUGGCUGUUUGGACAAGUUUUUCUUGCGUGGAAUUUGUUGUUUAGGCUGCAUCUAGCUAGUUAUGGGAGGUACUGGCUUUCUUAGGAGUGUAUGGAAGGGGGGCCAGCUGACAAAAUUCAGUUAGAGGUAGCGGCUCUCAUGCAGGCGAGGAAAGUAGCAGCAGAUGUUUUCAAGUUAUAAACUGCACUGGGGAGGGUUUUGAGCACAUUUAAACCAACCCAGUGGUUUCCUCCCUCAGCGUUCUUAUUGGGCAAAGUCUUUAAGCAAGGGCAUGGGUCCAAAAUGAUUCUGUGCUGGUGUCUGCAGGGGACUUUUGACAGCAAUAGGGGGAUGGUUGAUUACAUGGUGUAACAGUUUCUAUCGAUUGCUAACUUGACAGGAUCUAAACAUCACCUUGGGGAUGACUCUGGCCAACUCUGUGAGGCAUUUAAGGUAGUUGAGGUGAGUGGAGUCAUUCCACUGGCUGGUGUCUUGAACUCCAUGAAAAGAGAAAGCAAGUUUAGCACCAGCAUCCAUCUCUUUCUGCUUCCUGCUGAUGCCAUGUGACCAGCCCACUCUUGUUCCUACUAGCAUGUCUCCCCACCGUGAUGGACCAUGUCCUCUUGACUGACAGGUCAAAAUGAACCCUUCCCUUUUAAAGAGACUUCAGUCAGGUAUUUUGUCAUAGCAACUGGAAAGCUAACUAAUACACAUGGUAUGGAUAUGGUUUUAAAAAGAACCAGGUAGCUUUGCUUAGAGCUAGCUGAUGCUCACCCACCCUUCCUUCCUUCCUUCCUUCCUUCCUUCCUUCCUUCCUUCCUUCCUUCCUUCCUUUCUUUCUUUCUUUCUUUCUUUCUUUCUUUUUGGCUUUUGGUUUGAGAUAAGGUCUCAUAUAUCCCAGGCUGCUCUUGAAUUCACCAGGAUGGCCUUGGACUUCUAAUCUUUCUGCCUUUUCCUCCUGAGUGCUGUGUCUACCUUGCCCACUGGCAAACACUUUUAAGUGGUUGCAUUGUGCCAGCACUUUGGUACUGGGACAAUAGAAUGAAUCACAUUUCUGGCCUUGUGAAAGUCUUAUUGAUCCAACAGGAGGAAGGAUCUUAUCCAUUCAUUCAGGAGAUCUUUAUUAGUGAUUACUUCCUGCUGGACACCGUUUAGUCUCUAGGGACAACAGGAAACACAACCAAAGUCUCUACCACAGACUUUGUACUGUUGCCAGAAGAUAAUGCUACAUUUUUAAGACAAGAAAGAAGGUCCUAGGCUUGUAUAUUUCUCUGCUUAGCAUAUGAAAAAAAUACCCAAAUCAAUAAUAAUACCAUAGGAUAUUUCAAUUUUUCCUUUUACAUACUUUAUGAAAAGCUGGAAUAUUUUUCUUUGUUUAUAAAAGUUAAAUUAAGCAUUAUAACAAUGUCUCCUGUUUCUUGUCCUCAUCAAAGAGAAAUAGGUCAAGGUAAAGGUCACCAGAACGUGGCAGCAAGCUGGAUUUAGAACCCUUGGUUUUAGACCUGUAGCCACUUACUGUCACGUAUUUGGGAUGGAAUUGGUGAGCGGCAGAGGAAAAAAAAAUGAGGGAGCCAAAGGAGAUAGUAUAAAUGGCCCUGGAGAUGGCAAAGAUGCAGCUUAAAGUCUUUAAAGGGAGAGGGCGGAGAGAUGGCUCGGUGGUUAAGAAUGGCUGCUUUGUGAGCACGAGGACCAGAGUUUGGAACUCGGCUCCUGUGCAAUGAGACGGGAUCUACUGCAUGUCUGGAGCCCUAGUGGGGAGGGGCAGAGAUAAGAGGACAGCUGGAGCAUCCUGGCUUCCAGCCUAGCAGAGAAGUAGGAGAGUGGCUGAUUAUAUGGUGGGAUUGUUUUAAUUGAUUUCUAACUUGACAGGUCUAAGUCACCUUGGAGACAAAGCUCUGGCCAUGUCUGUGAGGUGUUUUCUAGUUUGGGGGAAUUGAGGUGGGAACACCUACCCUAGAUGUAGGUGAGACCAUUCCACGUGCUGGUGUUCAUGGAAACAGUAAUAGAGGAGGACACAAGAUUCCCUCUUCUAGUCUUUGCACAUGUGCUUAGGCACAUGUACUGCACAUACAUGUGCAUGUAUGCACACACACACACAUACACACCACAACCUCAAAUAAAUCUUUAAAAAUGUAACACAAAAUCCAAUUCACAGUAAUAUGAAAAAUGAAAAUAAGCUAAUAUAUAGAUAUGGAAAUAAACUAAAAGAGAGAAAGAGACAAUGAAGCCAAAUUAAAAAUAAAUAAAAACAAAAAAACAAAACUGACAAGGAAAAAGGGCUGGAGAAGACUCAGCGCAGGUCUAAUCACCUUAGUUGGGUCUCCAAGCCCCUGUCAGCUUGAGCUUGAUCCCUGGAACCAUGAUGAAAGGAGCGAAUGGCCUCCUGAAAGUUGUCUUCCAUUUCUACAUUCCUACUGUGGCAUUCAUGAGCCUAUGCCCACAUAUGCUCAUCAUAUACACACCAUAAAAUAAGUUAAGUAAAGAUGAAAAAUUCAAAGCUUCUAACAAGUUCAAGCCUGUCAGGGUUGUAUGAUACUUUAUCUCUAAACAAAAACAAGAAUAAAACCUCCCAAAAGCAAGAAAUCAAAGGCUGGCUCGAUGCUUCAGCAGUUAACUACAUUUGUUCUAAAAUUAUGAAAGCUGAAAUUCAGAACCCAGCAUCCAUGUAACAAACUGAGUGUCUUGCACAUAGUCUAUAACCUCAUCUCUGAUGGAUGUGCAUGCAUGCGUCUUGAAGGGUAUCACCUGGCCUUGCUAGUUUCCAGGAUAGCAGAGCGGAGCAAAUUUGAGACCCAAAUUCUUGAAAAAGCUCUGCCUCAGAAAGAAUAAACAGAGGGGGACAAAGGAGGUCACCCAGUGAUGUCUUCUAGCCUUCACUCAUGUGCACAGACACAAUCAUCAUAUGUACUCAUGCACACCCCACACACACCAGUAAAUAGACAAACAGUUUUAAAAAUCAAAUAGUUGUCGCCCAGUCGUAGUUGCCUACUAUGCACAAGCCCUGUGUUGAUUGCCAACACUGCAUACAUGGGGUAUGGUGAAGCACUUCCAGAAUCCCAACCUUGUCCCAGGAGAGAGAGAGAGAGAGGGGGGGGGGAGAAUGUGUAAGUGUAACUUGUUUUUACAAGUCCUUAGGAGUUUCCUAUUCAACCAGACAGGUUCUGAGAAGGGAGUUUUCCCUGCCCAUGAUUUAUAGAUUUGAAAUUCCCAAGACAGACAUCGUAAGCUGUUCAAUGGUUCUCCUGAUAACAGCAAGACAGUUUAUAUGAAUCAUUUUCCCCCUUUAAAAUAAGUAUAGCAUGAGCUUGUAGAAAUAGCUUGUUUCUAUACAACUCAUAACAGUAUGUAUUCAUUUCUAAGCUUAGGGCUUGAGUUCAAGAAGUGGAGUCAUUAUAUAAUACCACUUCCAGCAACAUCCAGCAUCACUAUCAAAUAGCUGUAGGGUUUGGUGAAGCUCAAAUGACCCUCACGCCUACUCCGAAAGGUCAUCUGUUGACUUCCAGUGAGAAAGCAGAACCCAGUUAGAUCCCCAGAUUUGUAGGCAAAUGGUCUGGAUCCUUCUAGAGAUGAACAGAGGGGCCCUAAAGUCGUCGUUCUAAGAUCCACCAUGUUUCUGGGUUUCAGCUGAGAAGUGGGGAGAGUAGGAGGGGGUGACCAUUUUAUCCUAGGAUCCUCAAGGCUGAGGAAGGCUUGGGUGUCAGUUGUUUUACAGCAGGAGAGCUGUACAAAGAGGAAGUGUGAGUCAGAAGUGUUCCUUUCAGGCUUCCAGAUCCUGUGUCCUGUGUUAGCCCUGCCUAACGCUGUUAUAAACAAAGGUCACAUCGGCUAUCAAAUGACUCAGUGGGUAAAAGCAUGGUCUGCUAAGCCGGGUGACUUGAGUUUGGGCCCAGGGGUCCAUUUGGUGGAAGGAGAAGGCUGAUUGCCCUAUCCUGUG